GAUGAACGCUGGCGGCGUGCCUAAUACAUGCAAGUCGAGCGAACAGACGAGGAGCUUGCUCCUCUGACGUUAGCGGCGGACGGGUGAGUAACACGUGGAUAACCUACCUAUAAGACUGGGAUAACUUCGGGAAACCGGAGCUAAUACCGGAUAAUAUAUUGAACCGCAUGGUUCAAUAGUGAAAGACGGUUUUGCUGUCACUUAUAGAUGGAUCCGCGCCGCAUUAGCUAGUUGGUAAGGUAACGGCUUACCAAGGCAACGAUGCGUAGCCGACCUGAGAGGGUGAUCGGCCCCGCUGGAACUGAGACACGGUCCAGACUCCGACGGGAGGCAGCAGUAGGGAAUCUGCCGCAAUGGGCGAAAGCCUGACGGAGCAACGCCGCGUGAGUGAUGAAGGUCUUCGGAUCGUAAAACUCUGUUAUUAGGGAAGAACAAAUGUGUAAGUAACUAUGCACGUCUUGACGGUACCUAAUCAGAAAGCCACGGCUAACUACGG
rnacentral:rRNA from 1 species